AAAAGUAGACAAUUCAGGUUAGCAUUUCCUCAAGUGUGAAACACAUACCGCUGGGGCCACAGUGGAGUAUUUUAGAAUGUCAUCAGGCAUGGGCAUGAUGAUGCCACAUCUUUCUCAACUCUGGAGUUCAAUGGUAACACAUGUAUCUCCACCACCUCUGUCAGGAAUGUAUCAUGCCAGGCAACUAGACCCUGAGAUCUGCGAUCUCUGGCUUGGGCUUGGUACAAAGAUGGGAUCAUGGAAUCUUUGCCCCAGAGAUGGUGAGUGGUUGGUAGCCAGUGUAUUACAAGUGAAUCCAACAAGCCCAUCCUGGAGGGAGCUAGGCUGGAAGAACUCAAGGACAGGGGCCUGUGGUAGGAGCAUUUUCACAAAGUCAUCAUCAGAGAUAUUCAGAUAGUUUAAUGGUCUCCUAAACCCCAGACUCCACCUUCUGCAGAGCUCUCCAUUCACUCCACAAGAAGAGGAGGAAAGAAGAUACAAUUGAGGGAAGCCCAAGACAGGAUGGGAGAGGUCUGACCGUGGAAGUGCAGAGGAGACAUUAGAGUUGUGAGCAUCUGAUGGGCUGAAAAAGGGGCCUCCCAUGGUCUUGCCUCUGCCCUUCCAUCCCUGGGUAUUGCCUUCCUAGUCAGCCACUCUCUCUGGCACAUAAGGUGCAAACAGUCACCCCCCUCCGACAUUGAUACAACAGGAUGGUUCUCCUUUGCUUCUUUUUGCCUCCUUAUUUAUAUAAUAGGCCUCUCAUAAUUCAUCUUUGAAGAGCUCCUCUUCAUGCAUUGGGAGUUUCUCUCUGUGCAUGCAACUGCUCUUUGUCCCAAGAUACUUAUUAGCAAGAGCCACUCCAGAUCCUCUGUCAUCUGGUAAUAAUGCCCUCCAGGUACCCAGGACCCCCUUUUAAGAGCUGGAACCCUUACACCAGGGUUCUCUUCCUUGGUCCAAUUUUACCUCUUCUUCCAUCUCAGCCCUCACCCUCCAUGAUGUCUACAUAAAAGCCUACUUUCGGGGUAUGGCAUGAAAAUCCAGCUUCCACAAGAUCUACUUAAUGGCCAAAUGAAAUAAUGCCUGUCUAAUCUGGAUUCUUAGAAGUCGAGAUGGAAAAUGAGUGCUAAUAAUUUGAGAGGGCAAGGAACCUCUGUAAUGGAGUGUGGAAAUGAUGCAGAGGAGAGAGGGAGACAAUAAAAGAUGCAUUAUCAAACCAGCUAUUACAGUGGGCAGUGGAUGCUUAAUCUCAGUGAGGACACCCUGGGAACCAGUGUAGAACAUGCACCCCAGAGUUAACCUCAACCAAGGAGUGAGGGAGCUGGGAUAUUUAUACACCAGUUCCCCAUCACUCAAGGCUGAACACUGGAGCAUCAAUUCUCUAGUAUGUCCAGACUGCCAAACAGGCAGAGAAAAUAGGUUUUGGCACCAGAGAAUACUAUCUGGAAGCUGGAAGUCAGCCAUGCGCCCCGAAGUGCAGAGGGUGAGGAUCUAUAUAUGGACACUAUCUGCUUCAGUACCCCAGGUCAACACUGGAAAACCGGUGAGCCGAGUUAUGCUUUGUUUCAGACAUGCUUUCGUUAGCUCCCUUAGUAUGUCAGGAAGUAAACUGGAAUUAACUGCCAACGUUGGUAGAAUGGGAGGUUUCAUGUAACAACCCCAUUUCCAGUUUCUGUUGAAAAAUAAGAUCUGGCAACACUGGGCCCAAAUCCCUGCCUGGCAAGAAUCAGCUGAGAGCAAUUACAGCUGCCCCUUUUAGAUGGGGCAUGAGCUCUCCGGACCCCAAACCCCACGAGAUCAUUGUUACUCAUAUCUAUUAGCUGGCCACCAAGACCUCUAAGUUGGAGACCCUCUGUUCUAAAAGUUUGUUGCCACUCUGAUCCCUCUGUGAGUAACAUAAACCUGGUACAUCUUGUAUGUUUCAUCUCUUCCUUCCAGAUCUGUGAAGUGUAUUGCUCCAUCUCUCCCAUCUCGACCUUUUUAAUCCCUCUUGGACUUUUGUCAAUGAAAGGAACCAGGAGACCGGAUCCAUUAAACCAUAUCCAGACAUCA